AAAAUAUGUGCUCAUUAAGCAAAUAUCCAUGGAGAGCUGGCUGUUAGCCCGCACUGAGCAAAGUACAAGGUGACUUCCCCGGUGGUGCAUGGAAGAUAGACAAGAGACCAGCCAGACUGCGGCAGGCACUCAGCCUUGUCCGUACAGAACGAGGUAGAGGACAAACCCUGCCGUCUUUGUCGAAGCUCUCUGCUGCCCCCUGGCGGACACAGCAUUGCGCGCCUUCGCGUUGCUAUUCCAGCCACCCAGGGAGCCCGCGGGUCGCUCCAGUGCUCGCUGCAGAGCCCUUUCACAAAUGUCCAUCAUUCGGUCCUCAUUUCCGCCACGUCGGCUUCACCUCGGUGGCCCUGAAGCGACAGCCCUGAGGCAAGAACGCCGGGUCCUGCCCUGUUCUCCCACUGCAAGAGGAGACCCGAGGCUCAGCCUACCCGUCCCAGUGCCCGGCCUUUUCUCUCUCUGGAAAGCCACCUAAGGAAUUGCAGCCCACUUCUGAAAACCCUCCAGCAUCUGCUGCACACUCUGGGUGAGGAGCAAGCCUGCCACCUUCCCAGCUCGCCUUGGAGAGCUCCACACCUAUGGAUUUAUUGUUGCUGUUGUUUCUGGUUUCUUUGCAAUAGGGUCUUGUUAAAGUUGCCCAAGCUGGCCUUGAAUGCACAAUCCUCCUGCCUCAGCCUCCCAGUCAGAGUGCUGGGAUUGCAGAUGUGCACUCCCACACCCGGCCUGGAG
rnacentral:lncRNA from 1 species